rnacentral:rRNA from 1 species
UACGAAGGGUGCAAGCGUUACUCGGAAUUACUGGGCGUAAAGCGUGCGUAGGUGGUUUGUUAAGUCGGAUGUGAAAUCCCUCGGCUCAACUGAGGAAGUGCAUCCGAAACUGGCAAGCUUGAGUACGAAAGAGGGUCGCGGAAUUCCCGGUGUAGAGGUGAAAUUCGUAGAUAUCGGGAGGAACACCGAUGGCGAAGGCAGGUCUCUGGGCCGAUACUGACGCUGAGGAGCGAAAGCGUGGGGAGCGAACAGG